rnacentral:lncRNA from 1 species
AAAAAAUGACUUUGAACGAUAAUAGUCCCGAAUAGCUAUAAUCCCCGAUAUUUCAGAUUUUAGACAACUGAGAGAAAAAUUGAGAUUAGUUUUUGAUUCUGUGCUCAAAGAGAAAUUAAUUUUUUGGGUUGAAUUUAUUUGUACAAAAUCUCUCACCCCCCUUGUCCCCUAUGUAAUUCAAGCAAUUGAGUUAAUAACAAUGUUAUCGUUUCUAACCCCCAGUAUAAUUAAAGUUGACCGCCUACCUUCAAACAUAAUCUCAAGCAGCCUAGGGGUUUUGGCUGGACAAAAUAAUCAAGUGUAGAAUGAAUCGAAUUUUUAUCCUCUUUUUGUUUUCGUUCCACUAAUAUUAUUCGUUCCAUUGUCCUGUUUGUAUGUUUCUUUACUCAAUAGUGCGGUUGAUCCAACUCGAUUAAUUUAAAACGAACUUAACCUUAAAAAUAAUUAAAUGUGGUGACGUCAUCAGAUCAUAAUUAAAAUUUAUAUUCUUAUGAUUCAACUGAGCCUAUUUUAAGUACCAAGGAAGGCUUCUUGGCUCGGUGGGUUAAAAAAAAUGUAUUUUCUUAAUUGUAGAAAACUGCUUGUUGACAAGAGAUCGUUGGAUGUAAGGAAGAUUCUAUGUCUAAGGAUGAAGAAGGAGAUAAAGUAAGCCUAAUAGAAAUGAUAAAUAGAGGAAUAUUCCUUUGAAUCUCCUUUUCUUAACAAUUUCAUAUAUCAAUAACUUUUUAUUGUACAUAAUGAAAAACUCUUAUCUCGGGGGAAAAUUUUGCAAUGCUUCUUCUUCUGUCGGGAUAUCCGCACUGCUACAUGUCUGAGAAUCAUGUUCAAUAAAAGAACAAGUUUACUCUGCGAUCAUGAAUGUGAAUCUGGGCACAAAUUCGAAGAAUGAAUAUUUGUUAUUUCGAUAAAGUAUUUAAUGUGAAUAUGAAAAAUUUUGUUAAGUCGAAAAAUGAUAAAGUUCGUCUUAAUUCUAGGAAUAGACACAGCAGAAGAGUGGCAAAAUUAUCCUUUCAGCCUGUAAUAAGUGAGAUAUGUCUUAAUUUUCAUGAUAAUCCUUAAAUUGAAAUAUAUAAUUGUAUAAAAACCUUUUUUUUCUAAAUUUUAUUAACACAUCAUUGGUGAUCCUCUUAACAUACGUUCAUAACAAGAAUGUUCAGUAGUUCUUAUGUUCCUCUUCUCCCUUUUUUACUACUAGAAGUUUAGAAAGAAAAACUUAUGACUAUUCCAUGUACUUAGCCUUCCUUGAUCAGUACCAUAAUUUCUUUUAUGGGAUUUUCAAUGUUGCUUUCCAUGGCGUGAUAUAUUCUAUUCAACAGCUCCAAACUCGUGAGCUGUAAUUUUCAACACCAGUAAUUUUGUCGAUUGAAAUUUUACAUAGAGGAGAUUACGCCGCAUGAAAUAUUCGCCCCCAAUUUUUGUUUUAAUAUUAUAGGUUUGAGUUUUACUGUUGUAUUUCGAUUAAUUAUAUGGCUAGAGAAGAAGAAAAAAAGGAGAAUAGUGAUAAAAUAAUGAAUGAUGAAUACUGUUUAUACUUUAUAAGGGCGAAGGAGUAAGGAAGCAAAGGCUUCGGAUAAUUAUUAUAUUUUGAAAGAUCCCAUUGAAUUGUGGCGCGAUAAUUAAUCAUAGUCAUGGUUUUAGCUGAAGCUUGAAUAAAUGGAAGAAACUAUAUCGAUAGAAAAAAGGAAUAUUUAUCGAUGAAUUAGUAAUUACAGCAUUGGGUGGAAGAUAUAUCAUUCGCUCAUGGUUGAAAAGAUGGUCAAAUGUUCAAAUAAGGUUAAAAAAGACCCAACGUAGAUAAUUGAUGUUUUGUGUUAUAAUGGUAAUGAUCUGGACAAAGGUAUGGAGAGAGUUGAUCCUAUGGAUCAACAAACUGCUGUUUAUCUAUCGGAUCAUCAGUCAUUGACACGUUUUUAUUAAAUAAUUUUAAUUGAUAUCAUUAACGAAUACAGGGGUUAAUUGCUGUAUCAUAAAAUUGUUAAAUAUUAUAAACUAUUUCUUAUUAAUUACAAAAUUGUUAUGGAAGAGAAUUGUAUUAAAUAUUAUGAAGAACAUCAAAAAUAUCUUCAUUGACAUCGUCAAGACCAACAAAAUUCUAAACACGUUAUUUAAAUUUAUGUUUAUGUCACAUAUUUACUAGAGUUUGAUAAAAACAUAGAGGAAAAUAGAUCUUAUGUUAAUUUAAUAG